AGAGUUUGAUCAUGGCUCAGAUUGAACGCUGGCGGCAGGCCUAACACAUGCAAGUCGAGCGGUAACAGAAAGUAGCUUGCUACUUUGCUGACGAGCGGCGGACGGGUGAGUAAUGCUUGGGAACAUGCCUUGAGGUGGGGGACAACAGUUGGAAACGACUGCUAAUACCGCAUAAUGUCUACGGACCAAAGGGGGCUUCGGCUCUCGCCUUUAGAUUGGCCCAAGUGGGAUUAGCUAGUUGGUGAGGUAAUGGCUCACCAAGGCAACGAUCCCUAGCUGGUUUGAGAGGAUGAUCAGCCACACUGGAACUGAGACACGGUCCAGACUCCUACGGGAGGCAGCAGUGGGGAAUAUUGCACAAUGGGCGAAAGCCUGAUGCAGCCAUGCCGCGUGUGUGAAGAAGGCCUUCGGGUUGUAAAGCACUUUCAGUCAGGAGGAAAGGGUGUGAGUUAAUACCUCACAUCUGUGACGUUACUGACAGAAGAAGCACCGGCUAACUCCGUGCCAGCAGCCGCGGUAAUACGGAGGGUGCGAGCGUUAAUCGGAAUUACUGGGCGUAAAGCGUACGCAGGCGGUUUGUUAAGCGAGAUGUGAAAGCCCCGGGCUCAACCUGGGAACUGCAUUUCGAACUGGCAAACUAGAGUGUGAUAGAGGGUGGUAGAAUUUCAGGUGUAGCGGUGAAAUGCGUAGAGAUCUGAAGGAAUACCGAUGGCGAAGGCAGCCACCUGGGUCAACACUGACGCUCAUGUACGAAAGCGUGGGGAGCAAACGGGAUUAGAUACCCCGGUAGUCCACGCCGUAAACGAUGUCUACUAGAAGCUCGGAACCUCNGUUCUGUUUUUCAAAGCUAACGCAUUAAGUAGACCGCCUGGGGAGUACGGCCGCAAGGUUAAAACUCAAAUGAAUUGACGGGGGCCCGCACAAGCGGUGGAGCAUGUGGUUUAAUUCGAUGCAACGCGAAGAACCUUACCUACACUUGACAUC
rnacentral:rRNA from 1 species